rnacentral:rRNA from 1 species
CUGGUUGAUCCUGCGAGUAGUCAUAUGCUCCGACCAAGGACUAAGCCAUGCAUGUCUCAGCACAAACGGUUCAACAGUGAGUCUGUGAAUGGCUCCUUACAUCAGCAGUCAUCUCUGUGGUAAAGUGCGGCUAGUGCCCAACUGCCAGGGUACUCAUUUGGACAUCCUCCAAAACUUGGUGGCUAAUACACGAUUGCCCAGGUCUGCCAUGACACAUAACCUGGUUUGAGACAGCUGGCACCCCAAUGGGCCAAAGUCUCCGGGUGGUUGGAUUGCACCCAGCCGUCCAUGAAGACCAGCGUCCGGCAAGGACAGUGUGUCUGGCUGACUCAGGCUGGUCCCUCUGAGGACUGUUUGUGCUGGCGGAAGAGAGAGGUGGCUUCUAAAGCCAUAUCAUGCACUGCUUGAUCACAUGGAACUUCUGACCUAUCAGCCUUGACUGUGGUGCAGUGGACCACAAUGGCAUUAACGGGUAACGGAGAAUCUGGGUUUGAUUCCGGAGAGGGAGCCUGAGAGACGGCUACCACUACCAAGGUGGGCAGCAGGCGCGCAAAUUGCCCAAUACCAACACCAUGGGUGAGGCAGCAACGGUCAGCAGCAAUUCUGCCAGCACCUGUUGCUGGUGGAACUUGGAAUGGAUGCUAUCCAAAGUCCGCUAUGAGUACCAACUGGAGGGCAAGUCUGGUGCCAGCAGCUGCGGUAAUUCCAGCUCCAGUGGCGUAUACUAACAUUGCUGCGGUUGAAACGUUUGUAGUCUGCUUCUGGGUGACUUGGUCUGUCAGGAGGUCUGGGCCACUGUGUGUGGGGUCCAAGGAUCCCUAGCACUGUGCCAGACCACCAACCCCUGGCAGUGAGUCCAGCACCCGCACUUGAUGGCCCUGAUCUGCUCUUGCAUGAAGCCCCCUUCAGUGGAGGUUGAGGCAGUUGGUGCACCCAACACCUGCUUGGACAUCAGAGAGGGUGUGCAGCCCUGUGCUGCACAAGUUCCAACCCAGUCCGCUACCAGAGCCAGCCAUCAAUGACACUAUGGAAAACUCAGUGUGCUCAAAGCAUCCAAGUCCUUGGCUGAAUGCCUGUCCAUGGAAUGUCACAGUAUCGACCUUGUGGGCCAUAGAGUUGUGCUGGCCUUGGUGCCCACCUCAGGGCAAACGGGUGCCUGUUCCCCUGGUUUGUGGGCAAGGGCUGUGUGGGCUGAGUGGCUGGUGUCCACUCACCUCCAAGAUUCCUGUCCCAGCCAGUUGUGGCAGCAUCCUCCGGACAUGAUGGGAUCACUCAGGGUGAAAGGUACCACUGCGCCAGAGGUGAAAUUCUUAGACCGCAGUGAGACCCACAGCGGCGCAGGCGCUUUGCAAGUUUGUGUCCAUCGAUCAAGAGCGAGAGCCUGGGGAUCAAAGAUGAUCAGACACCGUCGUAGUCCAGGGCUGUAAACCAUGUCAGCUCGGAGACCACUGGGUAAACCACCAGACCCAUGUGGCUUCCAUCACCCCCUGCAACGAGAAAUCCAAGCCUUUGGAUUCCGGGGGGAGUACUGUUGCAAGGCUGAAACUUAAAGGAAUUGACGGAAUGGCACCACAAGGCGUGGAGUAUGCGGCUUAAUUUGACUCAACACGGGGAACGUUACCAGGUCAGGACAAAGCCAGGAUUGACAGACUGAGAGCUCUUUCUUGAUCCUUUGGAUGGUGGUGCAUGGCCGCUCCUGAUUGGUGGAGUGAUUUGUCUGGUUGAUUCCGAUAACGAGUGAGACCUCUACCUCCCACUAGCCCCUGGACCGUAUCUGUAGGGUGGACAUGGGCUGGUCCCUUUCUGGGGCCCGCAAGCAUCCCAUUCCCUUUCGGGGGUUUGUGGGUGGGCCUGUGAGUUCAACCACCUGAGGCCCAGGGUUUGCUUCUCUGAGGUGCUGUGUCCGUUCCAAAGGACAUGCAUGCUAGAGCCAACAGCAGGUCUGUGAUGCUCCCAGAUGUCCUGGGCCGCACGCGCACUACAUUGACUCAGUGAGGGUGUGACCUCCAUCCCAGAUGGAGCCUGCACAGAAGUGUGUGGGAAAUCCUGCAAGCCUGAGCUGUACUGGGGAUAGAUGAUUGCCACUGUCUGCCUUGAACGAGGAAUGCCUAGUAUGCGUUGGUCAUCAGCCAACACAGAAUGCGUCCCUGCCAUUUGUACACACCGCCCGUCGUUGCUACCGAUGUUGGCUGGACAGAGGCAUCAGGAGGCCAGCCUGUGGGUGUGUCAGGGUGGGUCCUCCCACCAUGGUUCCAACACACCCCAGCAGCCAAACUUGGUCAAUGUUCAGCCAAUAGAGGAAGCAAAAGUCGUAACAAGG